CCCGCGGCAAGACGGAAAGACCCCGUGAACCUUUACUAUAGCUUGACACUGAACAUUGAGCCUUGAUGUGUAGGAUAGGUGGGAGGCUUUGAAGCGUGGACGCCAGUCUGCGUGGAGCCGACCUUGAAAUACCACCCUUUAAUGUUUGAUGUUCUAACGUGGACCCGUAAUCCGGGUUGCGGACAGUGUCUGGUGGGUAGUUUGACUGGGGCGGUCUCCUCCUAAAGAGUAACGGAGGAGCACGAAGGUUGGCUAAUCCUGGUCGGACAUCAGGAGGUUAGUGCAAUGGCAUAAGCCAGCUUGACUGCGAGCGUGACGGCGCGAGCAGGUGCGAAAGCAGGUCAUAGUGAUCCGGUGGUUCUGAAUGGAAGGGCCAUCGCUCAACGGAUAAAAGGUACUCCGGGGAUAACAGGCUGAUACCGCCCAAGAGUUCAUAUCGACGGCGGUGUUUGGCACCUCGAUGUCGGCUCAUCACAUCCUGGGGCUGAAGUAGGUCCCAAGGGUAUGGCUGUUCGCCAUUUAAAGUGGUACGCGAGCUGGGUUUAGAACGUCGUGAGACAGUUCGGUCCCUAUCUGCCGUGGGCGCUGGAGAACUGAGGGAGGCUGCUCCUAGUACGAGAGGACCGGAGUGGACGCAUCACUGGUGUUCGGGUUGUCAUGCCAAUGGCACUGCCCGGUAGCUAAAUGCGGAAGAGAUAAGUGCUGAAAGCAUCUAAGCACGAAACUUGCCCCGAGAUGAGUUCUCCCUGAGACUUAGAGUCUCCUGAAGGAACGUUGAAGACGACGACGUUGAUAGGCCGGGUGUGUAAGCGCAGCGAUGCGUUGAGCUAACCGGUACUAAUGAACCGUGAGGCUUAACCUUACAACGCCGAAG
rnacentral:rRNA from 1 species